AGGGGUAUAGUUCUUCGGAGCUAGAGACCGGCGCACGGGUGCGUAACGCGUAUGCAAUCUACCUUUUACAGAGGGAUAGCCCAGAGAAAUUUGGAUUAAUACCUCAUAGUAUGUGAGAAUCGCAUGGUUUUCACAUUAAAGUUCCAACGGUAAAAGAUGAGCAUGCGUCCCAUUAGCUAGAUGGUAAGGUAACGGCUUACCAUGGCGACGAUGGGUAGGGGUCCUGAGAGGGAGAUCCCCCACACUGGUACUGAGACACGGACCAGACUCCUACGGGAGGCAGCAGUGAGGAAUAUUGGACAAUGGGCGCAAGCCUGAUCCAGCCAUGCCGCGUGCAGGAUGACGGUCCUAUGGAUUGUAAACUGCUUUUGUACAGGAAGAAACACUCCCUCGUGAGGGAGCUUGACGGUACUGUAAGAAUAAGGAUCGGCUAACCCCGUGCCAGCAGCCGCGGUAAUACGGAGGAUCCAAGCGUUAUCCGGAAUCAUUGGGUUUAAAGGGUCCGUAGGCGGUUUAAUAAGUCAGUGGUGAAAGCCCAUCGCUCAACGGUGGAACGGCCAUUGAUACUGUUAAACUUGAAUUAUUAGGAAGUAACUAGAAUAUGUAGUGUAGCGGUGAAAUGCUUAGAGAUUACAUGGAAUACCAAUUGCGAAGGCAGGUUACUACUAAUGGAUUGACGCUGAUGGACGAAAGCGUAGGUAGCGAACAGGAUUAGAUACCCUGGUAGUCCACGCCGUAAACGAUGGAUACUAGCUGUUGGGCGCAAGUUCAGUGGCUAAGCGAAAGUGAUAAGUAUCCCACCUGGGGAG
rnacentral:rRNA from 1 species